rnacentral:rRNA from 1 species
AUUGAACGCUGGCGGCAGGCUUAACACAUGCAAGUCGAACGAGUGGCGGACGGGUGAGUAAUGCUUGGGAAUCUAGCUUAUGGAGGGGGAUAACUACUGGAAACGGUGGCUAAUACCGCAUUCUAUCGGAUGAACCCAUAUGGGAUUAGCUAGUAGGUGGGGUAACGGCUCACCUAGGCGACGAUCCCUAGCUGGUCUGAGAGGAUGACCAGCCACACUGGAACUGAGACACGGUCCAGACUCCUACGGGAGGCAGCAGUGGGGAAUAUUGCGCAAUGGGGGCAACCCUGACGCAGCCAUGCCGCGUGAAUGAAGAAGGCCUUCGGGUUGUAAAGUUCUUUCGGUAGCGAGGCGUUAACUACAGAAGAAGCACCGGCUAACUCCGUGCCAGCAGCCGCGGUAAUAC